UGUGACCACAGCCCCUCAGCCCUCCUGAGGGGAUACACCCGGGAUACAGAGGGCCCCGCUGCCAUUGCCUGCUGUGUGGAAGGCACUCACUGCACAGGCUGCCUUAGACCUGCACAAGGACUUUCAGAGAGGAAGCUGAAUUAGAAGAGUAAGAAUGAUUUAAACAACAAAGCUGUUCCCAUUUGAAGACACUGCUGUGGUGUAUUUUGGACACUGGAGCUUGGUACUUCCCAUUCAUGCUACCCUGCCAUGUUUUCCAGCUACCCUGCCAGCAUACAGAUCUCUGCCUGUGGUGGUCACAUGAGAUGGACACUGGGCUCAACUCAGCUGGAAGAACUGUGUCCUGCACAUGUUCUCCUGCUGGAGACUUCCAUGCUGUAAGCUUUGCCUGUGACAAAGCUGUCUUCCUUCUAACAAAAGAAUUACCGUGGCUCUUUUGGACCAGCAGAUAUACAGCACAAUGGAAAGUACAGAAUGCUUAAGGAAAGAGCAUGAGAACAGAGACAGCUUAUAGAGGUCCUGCUCAUGGCAACCCCUGCUCAGAGAUGCCUGGCAGUGAGCGGUCUGACCCCUGCCUUCAGCCGGUGCCAGUGCUCGUGAAUUUGUCUCCACCUUCUCUGAGCCCAGAGGUACACAAACAGAUCAGCCCAUUUGCUAAAAGCCUCAGCACUGACACCACGGUAUCCAUGGCAACGCCCCAACCUGCGCAAGCAUCUGCAGACACUUCAAAAUACCAGGCGAUGACAAGGAGUCGCUUCAGACAAUGGAUGUUUAUGGGUGGCACAGCCAUCUGAAAUACUUCUCUCUCCACCCAUCAGCUCCUUGAUUAUAACAUGCUUUAUAUUGUUCUUGCAGCUCCUUCGUCAGAAGCCAUGAUUCAAGGCAGAAUUAAUCCCUGUUUUGAUGUUCAUUUGCUAGUUUUUUUUUUUUUCAUUUAGAUGACUGGCUGAGGUACCUCAUGGGAAUGAGCACCCCAAGCUCUGCUGUUAACUUUCCUCUUUGAACUGAGUUGGAGUACAGGCUCUUCAAAUGAUAAAAUCCAAAGUUGUAAUUGAAAAAGAAGUGGUCUCUGUCAACUAACUAACAGAAGUGGUUGUGUGAGUGCUUGGCUGAGUGGUGAUUUGCCACAUCACGUUGCAUGAGCUACUGCUUUCCUAUAGUGAUGAUAGAUUUAAUAAGAUCCAGUGAACCAUUUUUGAGGAAUGUUUUAACUGAAGUUUAUCCACCUGCUGGCAUAGCAGAGACUGUGCUACUGUGUUUACAGAUGCUGGUCUUCACCAAACCUGAAGGGUGUUCAGCUCUGCUUUCAGGAGAUAACAUUCAGGUGCUCAGGCUGCAUAUCUGAAGCUGGUUGCAGAAAAUGUAUCAGUUCAUUAGACCAGGCGCUUACCUGCAAAAACACCUGUAAUUCAGACUAAGUAACUACAUCUAGAGCAACGAUAAACUGUUAAGUCCUGGGCUGAUGAUGACCAUGGGUUAGGAGCAGUUUUAUAAUACAGCAAAACAGCAGGAAGUCUUCAGGCAUUCAGGGCCAUCUUCCUCAAAUCAGGGAAGUAUUUCAACCUGACUAAGAUGUGAUGGGUGUGCUUAUCAAUCGGAUUGAGGCCAUUCUCAAAACUAGACUGGACAACUGCAUGUGUUGUUCACGCAAAGGCUGAGUGUGAGGCUGAGUUUGAGGUUUGGUAAUGGGAAAGAGCCCAAGUAUGUUGAUGCUUAACCUCCAGCCACAGCCUCGUUCUAUCUGUAAUGUUUCCACUCUCUUAAGAAGUAAUAUUGGUGUUUUAUUCAUAGAAAGGCAGAAAGAAAUACAAAGCCCAAACCCAAGACAAACUAAGUUGCCCCAUAUUGUGAUGUUAACUUGAUUAGGCUAAUCUGUUUUCAGCUGAUGGUUUAAGCUUCAGGCUUGGAAAAGCAGUAGCAUUUAGACAUUUGAACACAAGAGGAGCAUAUUAAAAAGCCUUAUCAAAAUUCCACAUUAAUAAAACAAGCUAUCAGUGCAUCAGAGCACUGAUGAGCUUCCCUCUGCAAGCAUGCAAGCAUCGUAAUAGAUUCUUUGUAAGGUCUUUAAUCCUCAGUAGCUAUUGUUGGAAAAAUUCAAGACUUUCCCCUAGAACAGGAAAUUAAAUCUCAAAAAUAAUACAUCUCUUGUAUUCUGUCCAGUUUGACUAUUCAGUAACUUAUACAUUAUAUUUAUUUUGAAAAGCAGCUUUUUCCUAUGGUUUCACUACAGAUGCAAUGUGUAAGGAGAUUUCACAACUUAAAACUUAACUUGUGUUCCGUUCAUCUUCUCUUUGAACCUGUAAGUAGGCAGCAGAUAAUUGUUGGGGGUGGUUUUUUGUUCGUUUGGGGUUUUUUUCAUUCUUUUAUUUUCAUUAGAAGACAUGAUAAAACUGACUGGUGCAGUAGUUUUAUUCCCACAAUUUUCAAGAGAGAUAAAGAAGGCAAUGCUUGUAGUAGUGAGAUGCAAGAAAGGGCAAAACAAACGACCCAAGUUCAAACUUGCAUUUAUUACU